rnacentral:rRNA from 1 species
UACGUAGGGACCGAGCGUUGUCCGGAUUUAUUGGGCGUAAAGAGCGCGUAGGCGGCUAUCCACGUCGGAUGUGAAAGCUCAGGGCUCAACCCUGAGAGGCCAUUCGAUACGGGAUAGCUAGAGGUAGCUAGGGGAGAAUGGAAUUCCCGGUGUAGCGGUGAAAUGCGCAGAUAUCGGGAAGAACACCCGUGGCGAAGGCGGUUCUCUGGGACGGUACUGACGCUGAGACGCGAAAGCGUGGGGAGCGAACAGG